AAGUCGUAACAAGGUUUCCGUAGGUGAACCUGCGGAAGGAUCAUUACAGGAGAGAUUGGGGGGGACUUGGUGUGUGGGGUGGGGGGUGCUUGGUUGGUGGGUGGGCAGAGCGCUUUGCUCAGAAGAGCACUGCUCUCUACUCUGCCUGCCUGACCGAGCAUCCUACCCACCCCACCCUACCGCCCACACUAGCACGGAGGCCGCUUGUCUAUACAGGCAGGCGGUCCCAUGUUUACGCUUGCUUGUUUGACAAAGUUAUACCCAUCCAAUCAACUUUUACAACUUUUAACAAUGGAUCUCUUGGCUCUU
rnacentral:misc_RNA from 1 species